rnacentral:rRNA from 1 species
UGGGGAAUUUUCCGCAAUGGGCGAAAGCCUGAUCCAGCCAUGCCGCGUGUGUGAAGAAGGUCUUCGGAUUGUAAAGCACUUUAAGUUGGGAGGAAGGGCAUUAACCUAAUACGUUAGUGUUUUGACGUUACCGACAGAAUAAGCACCGGCUAACUCUGUGCCAGCAGCCGCGGUAAUACAGAGGGUGCAAGCGUUAAUCGGAAUUACUGGGCGUAAAGCGCGCGUAGGUGGUUUGUUAAGUUGGAUGUGAAAUCCCCGGGCUCAACCUGGGAACUGCAUUCAAAACUGACUUACUAGAGUAUGGUAGAGGGUGGUGGAAUUUCCUGUGUAGCGGUGAAAUGCGUAGAUAUAGGAAGGAACACCAGUGGCGAAGGCGACCACCUGGACUAAUACUGACACUGAGGUGCGAAAGCGUGGGGAGCAAACA